UCGCCUGCUGAAAGGGCGCCAGGCUCUGUGUGAUUUCCCGUGCAGCAACCCACUGUGCUGGCUGGAAUCACGUUGCUACCCGGGAAUCUCCUGGCCUGGCUGUCUGUUUAAGUUCCAUUUAAUCAGAUGAAUGUGCUAAUCUGCCUUCCAAAAUCUCCAAUUGCCAGUUUAACAGGGCAACCAAAGCAGUGUAUUUUUUACAGAGUGCCACUGCGCUGCGGCCCUGGCCCAAACAGCCGCGCCGGCCCGAACAGCCGUGCUGGCGGCCCGUGCAGCUUCUACACCUGGGAAUCUCCUGGUCUGUGGGCAAUAAAGAUCCAUUUGGAAAUGCAGCAUCCACUCACCAUCUGCGGAUUCACUGGGAGCUGCAAUCCUCAAUGAUCUGAAGACACUCUGUGUACGUUAGGGUCUUAUCUUACCCUCUUGCCCAGGCUGGGGUGCAGUGGUACGAUCUCAGCUUACCGCAAUCUCGGCCUCUCAGUCUCAAACAGUCUUCCCACCUCAGCCUCCCGAGUAGCUAGGACUACAGGAGUGUGCCACCAAGACCAGGUAAUUUUUUUGUGUGUUUUUUAGUAGAGACAAGGUUUCACUAUGUUGCUCAGGCUGGUCUUGAACUCCUGGACUUAAGCGAUCCCACCUGUGUCAGCCUCCCAGAGUGCUGGGAUUAUAGACAUGAGACACUGUGCCCGGACUCAUGUUUAAACAACAUCAGAAGACCCAGUUGACAUGAGAGCAGUCAAGGUUAUUCAAAAGAAGCUUGAUCCCACUCGGAGGUUGGAGUGAACUCACAGAUUGGCUAUAUAUGGGGGGGCUGGUCCAACUAGAACACCCCAGGAUAGUCAUGAGGAAAUCCAAGUCAAGGUUAACAGGAAAUACACAGUUGUACUGGUGGGAUGACAUAAAUAGGAAAACGAAUAAUGAGGUUAGAAACUGGGAGUAUUUGAAUGUGUAAUCUAAAAUAGAUAAGGGCAAAUGAUUCAGGGCUAGGAUUAAGCAAAACUGUUUGAGGCCCAUUUUAUGAGUAUUGACAGCCCCUAAAGGGGAGAGACUGGAGACCUAAAAACAUUAUAGGCAAGGGUCAUUGACAAGCCCUGUAUAUUAGCUCCCUAUGGCUGCUAAAACAAAUUACCAAAAACCUGGUGGCUUAAUUCAACAUAUAUUUAUUCUGUUACAAUUAUGGAUGCCAGAAGUCCAAAACUGGUUUUACUGGCUGAAAUCAAGGUAUUGACAGGCCUGGGCUACCCCAGGAGGCUCUAGGGGACUUCUGGUGGUUGCCAGCAUACCUUGGCUUGUGGCUGCAUCAUUCCAAUUUCUGCUUCUGUGAUCACAUUGCUGCCUCCUCUGUGUAUGUAAAAUUUCCUUCUGUCUUUCAUUUAGUAAAGACAUAUGUGAUUGCACUUAGGACCUACCAGAUAAUACAGAAAAAUCUCAUUUCAAGAUCCAUAACUAACUUAAUCUGUAAGCCUUCUUUUUUUCUGUAUUGGGUAACAGGGAUUAGGACCUGAAUGUAUUUUGGGGUGCCAUUUUUUAGCCUAUGACACCCUGUAAGUCUCACAUGAUGGGAAAACCCAGAUUUGAUUGGCUU
ensembl:lncRNA